ACCAGAGGGAAAAGAUAUACUACACUGAACAUUAUAAAGUUGAUUCAAAAGUCUUUAAAACAUUAAAUUGAAAUACAGUACAUGUGUAAUAUACAAAGGCUGUCAUGAAACAAUACCAUUACAUAACUCAAGAAGGAUUAGGUAAUCCAUUCAAUUAUCCUAGACCAGUUGUUAACAUUUUUACAAAGGGUUAAAGGAGGUUAAUAUAAGGCCAAAUGUUAUUUUGAGUUGUGCAUGCACUCUUAAGCUAACUUGGACAAAAUGUUUUUGAUACUAAACUGAUUUUAUAUUUGAUCUCAUUUUACAUCACUUAAUAAAUGACGUCCCAAUCAAAUUGCCCUAUCAAGUCAUGGCUAAUACUCAGUAGUCAGUAUAGUAAUGAUAUCAUACAAUUUUUACUUAUCAGUAAACUUUUCAAGUUUUAAAAUAAACAGCUGCGCCAUGAGCGCAUGAUACGCCCGAUGUCUUAUGUGGAAGUCUUAUGCAAUAAUCAUAAAUAGUUUCUGAGAAAGUUUUAAGCAAUAACCAUAUAUCGUUUUAGAGACACGGCGGGACAUGUGAAAACCCCCACCCUGUUUUUUUUUUUACAAAAAACUAAAUAUUACCAAAAUAAAAUUUUGAAUCAAAACCAAAAAGUAUACAGAUCUUUAGAUUAAUAUAACAAAGAAGUGUGUAAAGUUUUAAGCAAUAAUCAUAAAUUAUUUUUGAGAUACGGCGCGACAUGUAAAAAACCCUCCCCUGUUUUACAAAAUACUCAAUAACUCAAAAAUAAAAUUUUGAAUAAUCACCAAAAAGUAUACAGAUCUUAAGAUUAAUAUAACAAAGAAGUGUGUAAAGUUUUAAGCAAUAAUCAUAAAUCGUUUUUGAGAUACGGCACAACAUGUAAAAAAAACCCUCCCCC
rnacentral:lncRNA from 1 species